AGUGGUUAACAUUUUACCCUUAGAACUAUACUUGUCUUGUUCUAAUAUUCUAUGUUGUUGAACUUAAGUUACAUGCUACGUGAAAGGUUGAUAUACGGGGCAACCAAUGUGUUCGAGUGAGACAAGGCUUGCUCUCGGCCUUAACAUAUGUCUAUAGAGCUAAAUCGUCUGUCAAAAUAUAUAAUUACUACAACUACAUAUAUAAUACUACAACUACAUAACACUUAAAACUAAAAAACCAAAACGAAUCUGCAUAAACAGUGACAAUGGCUUGUAUAUGUGUAUAUAUGAGUAUAAAAACAAAGCAUAUGAUUUAAUGAAUGAACGUGCUGAGCACGAUAUCACAUAAGUUACAUAUGUGAGAUCUUAUUGCGCUAUUGAGACGUCGUUUUAGUGUAGAAUUGAGGCAAUAUGUUUUGGUCAGAAUCGUUAUCGGUAAUUUCGCUGAGGAUGGAAAUAGGAGAACGGUAUGCCAAUACAGACCAGCGCGAAUUUCGCUCAGCGUUAUAAAUAUCAAUCAACAUUGAGUUCUCAUGGUGUUGCAAGCUGAGGUGAGCGGGUGCAUUGGAAAGGGCCAGUCGAGGUGAGGAAUUAUGCGCAUAUAUUAUACAGUCAUCGGCGUACAGGAUUGCUUGCGAAUCUCGACUGGUAUGAGGGAAGUCAUAUAAUAACAGGUUGAAUAAAAAAGGCGCUAGAACAUUCCCCUGAGGGACUCCACUUCCAACGGUACCCGGAGAUGACAUUGUAUCUUGGAUCUUCACGGUGAAGUAACGGUUUGUAAAGAAACUGCUCAAUAUCUUUAUCAAGUAAGGGUCAACUCCAAUUUUUAUCAGUUUGUAUGGGAUUCCUUUAUGGCAGGCAGAUUCAAAGGCUUUUUCUAUGCCUAGCAACAGUACUGGAUUGGUUUCUAAGAUUUCGGGUAAUAUCCGUAUGAAAUUUCAACAGAGCAUGUUAGGUUGAGUGAAAUUUCUUGAACCCAAACUGAUAAUCAGAGACUGGAUUUAUUAUAAACUCGUUCUCAAUCUUUUCUUUUAAGAUUUGUUUGUAAAUUUUGCCGAUAUUGGAAAGUAAUGAUAUUGGACUGUUUUGCUGCUUGGCUUUUUCCUUAUUGGUAUAAUAAUGGCCUUUUUCCACUGCAACGGAAAGUACCCCAGAUUAAUGCAGUGGUUAGAAAUACAUUCAAGGAAUUGUAGUGAAGAUUGUGGUAAUUGUUCUAAAAUAAAGUUCGAAAUCCCAUCAGCUCCGCUUGAUUUCUUAUUAUAUUUAUAGUUUCUUUAAUUAUAAUUUUUAGAAGCUGGAUCUGCUUUGAGAGAAUGAAAUAUUCCUGACUGUGCCUGUUGCCUGUCCUAUGAAAGAUCUUUUUGAGGUCUUUCUGCCAAGUGUGUUUUAUUUUAAAAAUCUUUUCACCUUUGGAAGUUUGUCCUGUUGGAUUAGAAUUUUGCGGGAAUGGGCAUCAUGUACAGAAGUGACUACGCCGUUGAAUUCGCUAAUAAAGUCGUCAAUUUCAUUAGUCUUCAGAUUCCUAUCUGAAAGUGGAAUAAUAUUUAAGGAUGCAGAAUCCAAAUCAUUUCGGAAGUCAUUCCAAUUGGUAUCCUUAUAAGAUGUACACAUUCUGGGUGCUUUAGUAACCACCUCGGAGGAGAUUAGAUUCAGUUCGAGUUUUAUUGGAAAAUGGUCCGAGAAGGUUGGAAGGCUUGAAAUCGUAAAGUUUGCGUUUAUAGGAUUUAUAAGAUUUGGACUGACGAGAUAAUGGUCGAGAAAUGAUGGACCAUUUGGAUAGGAAGGCGAAGAGUCACAGAGUCUGACCACGUCCAAAGGGUUAUCCAAUAGCCAGGAUUACAAUGUUUCUUCAUUUGUGUUCUCAGAACUGUCACCCCAAGAAAAACUUUUGGAAUUUAAGUCGCCACCAACUAUAAAGCCGUCAAAUCUAGCAAGAAAUUCUAACAGCUUGACAAGACCAACUUCCAGUCUCUUCACUGGAUAAUUGCAUGUGAUGUAGAUAGAGCCAAUUAGGAUUCUUUUAUGGAUGUUGUUGGAUGAUGUAUUUAUCUGAAUAAAAGUCGAGUUCAGCCCAAUGUUCCUGAAUACGAUUCUGCUGUAUUCAAUGUUAUUUCUAAUUAAAA